rnacentral:lncRNA from 1 species
GUGGGCACAGCAAGCUGACUUGCCUUCUCGAGUGGGUGAAAAACAAUUGGCAUUUCAGUGAGGAACUGGAUGUAAUACAUGAAAUGGCUCAGAUCUACUCAGCUGGAACCCAGCACUUUCCCAGUGGAAAGAAUUUGAUGCCAUUUCCGCACACCCAAAUUCCUGUUGGCAGGAUAAUCAGCAAGUAAUACAGAGAGCUGCUUCCUUCAACAGCUGCAUUCAGCACAAAACCGAGGGCCGAUUAUGUGGAGAAAUAUCCUUCAGAGGCUGGUGGAGGCCGCUCUGCUUCAAGCUGUGAGCCGAGUCAGGGCUGCUUCACUUGUCUCUCAUCCUCUGGACCAGUGACCACCUGGGGUGGCAACAGGGCCAGAGGACGAGCAGAGACACAAGAGGCCUCCUAAGGCCUCAGCUCAGAACUAACAAACUCGCUUCUGCCCACAUUCCAUUGGCCAAAGCCCUGCAUGAGUUGUGGAAAAGUACUCUCCACUUUGGUGAACAUUAGUAAGAGAAAAGAGGGAAGGAAGAAUUGCAGGCAAGUAAUACCAUCUACCUCGGCCUCCUAUGCAGCUUGGUGUGUACCUGCACCUAAGUUCUGGCCUGUAGGAUAUGAGGGGAAGUGAGGUGUGCAACUCCAGGACCUGCCCCUGUAAAGACUGGGCCCUGCCUUUCCCCUGCCCAUCUGCUGGGGACAUGGUAGGACUGCAGCAGUUGCCUGGCCCAGAGAUAGACGGCACAGCUAUCCUGCUGGUCCUACCUCUAGACCGCCACAUGUACCUCACUUACACUGCUUGGGUUUUGCAUCUUAAAACCCCAAUUAGCACACCAUUCAUUCAUUCAUUCCCCCAUCAACAAGUAUGUACUGAGUGUCUUUUUGCCAGGCAUUGCACUAGGUUUUGGAGAGAUGACAGUGAACAAAAACAAACUUGGCUGUUCUGUAUCUUGGCUGUGGCAGUGGUUACACAAGCCUACACAUGUGAUAAAACUGCAUAGAACUAAAUACACACACACAGAGGAAUGCCAGUCAAACUGGGAAUUAAAGAAUCAAAAAGUCACUGGUGACUCAACAUGGCAGCAGUCCAGCUCAACCAUACAGAUGACAGCAGUGUGCUGAAGUAUGACAAAGGAAUGAUUUAAAAGGAAUUGAGGCAGAGCUGCCAGGCAGGCAUGCUCACCUUGGACUUUGAAGCAAGAGAGACAUAAAUAAAGGUCUUUGUUCUGUAAGUAGAGUGUUCAUAUAAUUUAUCAUCCAAACUGAGACACCUGUGAAAAUAAUUACACUGGAACAACUUGUGUGACUGAUCAGCUGGUCACUCCAUCUUUAAGUCAUUGUCUUGUUGAGUCUGUUAUCAGAGCCCAUGGAGUGCCAUGCAUGGACAGCUUAUUUAGGCACAACAGAGAAAAAUUAAAGGGAAGGAGGAGCAAGGAAGAGUGGAAAGGAUAAAGAAAUGGUGAGCAUUGGCAGGAAACAAUGCAAGGAGAAAAGGGAACAGGAAUCGGAUUUUCUACUAAUUUGCUGUGUGUUCCUGUGUCAGUUUAUAAAUUAGUGUCUAUAUUUACAACCGAUUGGAAGAACGAACUUUUUAGAUCCUCUCAUCCAACAAAGCUGCAGAUUUCUUUAUUGAGAUGGAGUUGAGAAAGCUUUAAAACAGGCCAAAGCAACAUGAGGACAUGUGUCAUGAGAAGAGAAAUGGUCUUCCAUAAAUUGAGUGCUGGGGAAGGCUUGGUGUAGGUAAUGUAGAGGUUCUCAAACUGUGGAGAAGCUCAAAAUGUGUUCCUUUGAGCCUUGGUCUUCUAGUUAGGCCACUGUCUAAGCCACUAUACAAAAAGACACCAAACACACUGGCUUCAACAAGACAAGCCUCUGUUUCUCUUUCGGGUGACAGGAGAAGCAGAGGACUAAGCUUUCUUUUCCAAGUCAUCACCUGAAAGUUGCCCCUUCACUUCUGCUCACAUUGCAUUGGCCAGAGACUUGAAAGGAAGCUGGGCACGUGCUGUGGGGAAAAGAAAGAGAGAUCAGAUUGUUACUGUGUCUGUAUAGAAAGAAGUAGACGUAGGAGACUCCAUUCUGUUCUGUACUAAGAAAAAUUCUGCCUUGAGAUUCUGUUAAUCUGUGACCUUACCCCCAACCCU